rnacentral:rRNA from 1 species
UACGUAGGUGGCAAGCGUUGUCCGGAAUUACUGGGUGUAAAGGGAGCGUAGACGGCAUGGCAAGUCUGAUGUGAAAGCCCGGGGCUCAACCCCGGGACUGCAUUGGAAACUGCCAGGCUGGAGUGUCGGAGAGGUAAGAGGAAUUCCUAGUGUAGCGGUGAAAUGCGUAGAUAUCGGGAGGAACACCAGUGGCGAAGGCGGCCUGCUGGACAUUAACUGACGCUGAGGCUCGAAAGUAUGGGGAGCAAACAGGAUUAGAUACCCGGGUAGU